rnacentral:lncRNA from 1 species
AUCGGAGGUGGACGUUCGAUUGGUGGCUCCUUUGAGUAAUGGUUCAGAUUAUUGUUGAAGAUUGAGAGUUUAAAGUCGCGAUUGGCAGCGGCUUGUGUAUAUAUGUGCAGCGACAGAACUUGAAUGGCGGCGGUGGUCGAUUUUGUUAGCGCGAGAUGGUGGUUAAACCAAUGGGCUACGCAAGAAAUAAUUAGACAAGGGAGGUGAUGAAUUGAUUGAAAAUUAGCAGUGCAGUCUCUUGCCUUCUCCGUGGUUUAGGUGAAAUCGAUGGUGGGCGGUGGGGAGGUUUGGGUAAUGGGCUAUUUUGUAUGUGAGUGUUUCAACCGUAAUUUGUGGGUUGAAGAUGGUAACCGGGUUUGGGAGGAUUAUACGACGGUGGUGACUGGAUGCAUGGUUGUAUUGAUUGUGGGCUGUGGUUUUCGUGAGUGGGUGUUGUGGAAGUUUGAAGUAGUGGUUGCUUGGAUGAAGUCGUGGGUAUUGACAGUUAUCUUCUCUCUCAUUCUUUUUCUUUUGUGUGCGUGAAUGACUAUUGGAAGAACGUGGCUGGGAGAAGUAUAGGA